rnacentral:rRNA from 1 species
AGUGAACGCUGGCGGUAGGCCUAACACAUGCAAGUCGAACGGCAGCACAGUAAGAGCUUGCUCUUACGGGUGGCGAGUGGCGGACGGGUGAGGAAUACAUCGGAAUCUACUUUUUCGUGGGGGAUAACGUAGGGAAACUUACGCUAAUACCGCAUAGGACCUACGGGUGAAAGCAGGGGAUCUUCGGACCUUGCGCGAUUGAAUGAGCCGAUGUCGGAUUAGCUAGUUGGCGGGGUAAAGGCCCACCAAGGCGACGAUCCGUAGCUGGUCUGAGAGGAUGAUCAGCCACACUGGAACUGAGACACGGUCCAGACUCCUACGGGAGGCAGCAGUGGGGAAUAUUGGACAAAGGGCGCAAGCCUGAUCCAGCCAUACCGCGUGGGUGAAGAAGGCCUUCGGGUUGUAAAGCCCUUUUGUUGGGAAAGAAAAGCAGCAGGUUAAUACCCCGCUGUUCUGACGGUACCCAAAGAAUAAGCACCGGCUAACUUCGUG